GCUAGGUGUGGUGACGCACACCUGCAAUCCCAGUGGCUUGGGAGGCUGAGGCAGAAGGACAGCAAAUUCAAAGCCAGCCUCAGCAAUGUAGUGAGGCCCUAAGCAACUUAGCAAGACUUAGUGACAUCCAGCCUCUU
rnacentral:sRNA from 1 species